AGAGCGAACGCUGGCGGCAGGCCUAACACAUGCAAGUCGAGCGCCCGUAGCAAUACGGGAGCGGCAGACGGGAUAGUAACACGUGGGGACGCGCCCUUCGGUUCGGAAUAACUCAGGGAAACUUGAGCUAAUACCGGAUACGCCCUUACGGGGAAAGAUUUAUUGCCGAAGGAACGGCCCGCGUCCGAUUAGCUAGUUGGUGAGGUAAUGGCUCACCAAGGCGACGAUCGGUAGCUGGUCUGAGAGGAUGACCAGCAUCACUGGGACUGAGACACGGCCCAGACUCCUACGGGAGGCAGCAGUGGGGAAUAUUGGACAAUGGGCGCAAGCCUGAUCCAGCCAUGCCGCGUGGAUGAUGAAGGCCUUAGGGUUGUAAAGUCCUUUUAACGGGGAAGAUAAUGACGGUACCCGUAGAAUAAGCCCGGCUAACUUCGUGCCAGCAGCCGC
rnacentral:rRNA from 1 species